rnacentral:rRNA from 1 species
GAUGAACGCUGGCGGCGUGCCUAAUACAUGCAAGUCGAGCGAACGUACGAGAAGCUUGCUUCUUUGAUGUUAGCGGCGGACGGGCGAGUAACACGUGGCUAACCCACCUAUAAGACUGGGACAACUUCGGGAAACCGGCGCUAAUACCGGAUAAUAUUUUGAUCCGCAUGGUUCAAAAGUGAAAGACGGUCUUCCUGUCCCUUAUAGACGGACCCGCGCUGCAUUAUCUAGUUGGUAAGGUAACAGCUUACCAAGGCAACGAUGCAUAGCCGACCUAAGAGGGUGAUCGGGCACACUGGAACUGAGAAACGGUCCAGACUCCUACGGGAGGCAGCAGUAGGGAAUCUUCCGCAAUGGGCGAAAGCCUGCCGGAGGAACGCCGCGUGAGUGAUGAAGGUCUUCGGAUCGUAAAACUCUGUUAUUAGGGAAGAACAUAUGUGUAAGUAACUGUGCACAUCUUGACGGUACCUAAUCAGAAAGCCACGGAUAACUACGUG